AAUCCAUGGUGAGGGCAGUCACGUUCAUACUCCUUAAAACGUUCCCAGGCUUCAUAGAAAGGUUCAGUCGGUUCGACCUUGACUUAGUAU
rnacentral:snoRNA from 1 species